rnacentral:rRNA from 1 species
AUUGAACGCUGGCGGCAUGCCUUACACAUGCAAGUCGAACGGCAGCACGGGUGCUUGCACCUGGUGGCGAGUGGCGAACGGGUGAGUAAUAUAUCGGAACGUACCUUAUUGUGGGGGAUAACGCAGCGAAAGCUGUGCUAAUACCGCAUAAUCCCUAAGGGGGAAAGCGGGGGACCGUAAGGCCUCGCGCAAUUAGAGCGGCCGAUACCUGAUUAGCUAGUUGGUGAGGUAAAGGCUCACCAAGGCAACGAUCAGUAGCUGGUCUGAGAGGACGAUCAGCCACGCUGGGACUUGGACACGUCCCAGACUCCUACGGGAGGCAGCAGUGGGGAAUUUUGGACGAUGGGGGCAACCCUGAUCCAGCAAUGCCGCGUGAGUGAAGAAGGCCUUCGGGUUGUAAAGCUCUUUUGUCAGGGAAGAAACAGCAGCUCUAACACAGUUUGCGAAUGACGGUACCUGAAGAAUAAGCACCGGCUAACUACGUGCCAGCCGCCGCCGUAA